rnacentral:misc_RNA from 1 species
AACGCACAUUGCGCCCGCCAGUAUUCUGGCGGGCAUGCCUGUUCGAGCGUCAUUUCAACCCUCGAGCCCCUCCGGGGGCCCGGCGUUGGGGACCGGCCCCGCCCCUCGCGGCUGCGGGCGCCGCCCCCGAAAUGCAGUGGCGGUCUCGUCGCAGCCUCCCAUGCGCAGUAGCUUUGCUAAUACGCUUCGCAGAGGGAGUGCGGCGCGGCCACGCCGUAAAACAACCCAAACUUCUGAAAGGUUGACCUCGGAUCAGGUAGGAAUACCCGCUGAACUUAA